rnacentral:rRNA from 1 species
AUUGAACGCUGGCGGCAGGCCUAACACAUGCAAGUCGAACGGUAACAGGAAGAAGCUUGCUUCUUUGCUGACGAGUGGCGGACGGGUGAGUAAUGUCUGGGAAACUGCCUGAUGGAGGGGGAUAACUACUGGAAACGGUAGCUAAUACCGCAUAACGUCGCAAGACCAAAGAGGGGGACCUUCGGGCCUCUUGCCAUCGGAUGUGCCCAGAUGGGAUUAGCUAGUAGGUGGGGUAACGGCUCACCUAGGCAACGAUCCCUAGCUGGUCUGAGAGGAUGACCAGCCACACUGGAACUGAGACACGGUCCAGACUCCUACGGGAGGCAGCAGUGGGGAAUAUUGCACAAAGGGCGCAAGCCUGAUGCAGCCAUGCCGCGUGUAUGAAGAAGGCCUUCGGGUUGUAAAGUACCUUCAGCGGGGAGGAAGGGAGUAAAGUUAAUACCUUUACUCAUUGACGUUACCCGCAGAAGAAGCACCGGCUAACUCCGUG